ACCCAUGUGACUUGAAGCCAGCCUGUGGAUUCCCAUGACUGCUCCAAAACAAGGAAGAGGAGAGCAGAAGACUCCAGGCAUUCUGGCUAAUCAAAUGGCACCAGAGAGAACCAUCCACUGGCCCAAUGGUGGAAUCCAAUUGGACAGCCGAAGGCUUAGAAUGCAUAUAAUAACAGAAGAUAUUCUGCUAUUUCUGAGUAAAGUCCACAUACAGAGAAACUACACGAAAUUAAUUUCAUCAGAAGGCCAGGAGCACUUGGAAGCAUAUGUACAGAGGAAAUGAAAAAGCUACCUUGCAACAAAAUAGUUCUGCCAAAUGGAAGCUGAUAUGUGUACUGAAGGCUUCACAUUCUGCGGGAUAAAGGAAGUAAGAGGCAUGUUUUUGUGGUGUUAAUGCUUUGAGAAAUGACACAAGCAAAGCCCUCCCAGACCAGCGCUGUCGCCUCAGAAAUAAAGGUGGGACACUUCAGUAAAACAGUGCCCUACAGCCUGAUCAAACCUAGAAGCAAUGAUUUAGAAAUGUUGAUCACAAGCUAAUGUCUGAAAUUAACCCAAGCAUGCAAGCAUGACUUAACAAUCACAGAAAUCAUAUUAAGUCAUUGAGUACCAUGUU